GCUUUCAACAUACCCUGAAGACAUUUCACUUCUGUCAGCUACAGUGAGAAACCUUCCUGGAAACAUUUGCAUUGCUGGAAGGCAAAAGGAAGCGUCAACUUUAUAUGGCUCAUGCCUGACAACAUGCACCACCAGUGGCUGCUGCUAGCUGCAUGCUUUUGGGUGAUAUUCAUGUUCAUGGUUGCUAGCAAGUUUAUCACGUUGACUUUUAAAGACCCAGAUGGCUACGGUUCCAGGCAAGAGUCAUUGAUACUGACAGCUGUGACAAAAGUGGAGGAGGUGCAUGUGCCGGAGGAAAAACAUUGGCCUGAAGAAUUCCAGCCAACUGGAAAACCUUUUUCUGGAAAUCUGAUCCGCCAGCCCCUGGUUCAUAUGGAAAGACUUGAGCUUCUCAGGAACGUCUGCAGAGACACUGCACUGAGAGAUCUCUCUCACACUGCAGUUUCCAAAUUCGUCUUGGACCGAAUAUUUGUGUGUGACAAGCACAAGAUCCUGUUUUGUCAGACGCCAAAAGUGGGCAACACUCAGUGGAAAAAAGUCUUGAUUGUUCUAAAUGGAGCAUUUUCUUCCAUAGAAGAGAUCCCAGAAAAUAUUGUACAUGAUCACGAGAAGAAUGGCCUUCCACGUUUGUCCUCUUUCAGUGACUCUGAAAUUAAAAAACGACUGAAUUUAUACUUCAAGUUUUUUAUUGUUAGAGAUCCAUUUGAAAGACUUAUUUCUGCGUUUAAAGACAAGUUUGUGCACAAUCCUCGGUUUGAACCUUGGUACCGGCAUGAAAUCGCUCCCGGCAUCAUUCGUAAAUACAGAAAGAACCGCACAGAGACCAAAGGGCUGCAGUUUGAGGAUUUUGUGCGCUACCUGGGUGACCCCAAUCACCGAUGGCUGGAUGUUCAGUUUGGUGACCACAUCAUUCAUUGGGUAACGUAUGUGGAACUCUGUGCUCCUUGUGAAAUCACGUACAGUGUGAUUGGACACCAUGAAACCCUGGAGGACGAUGCUCCGUAUAUCUUGAAAGCAGCCGGCAUAGACCACCUGGUAUCAUACCCCACCAUUCCACCAGGCAUAACAGUGUACAACAGAACAAAAGUAGAGCGGUAUUUUUCAGGAAUUAGCAAGAGAGACAUAAGACGCCUCUAUGCACGAUUUGAAGCUUUCUCUGCACUGAGUUCUCUUGGACAUCUGUGAAGAGAGCUAUGGACUGACAAAGGCAGAGGUGUGUACUGCCCUCCCUUCUCUGUGUUCCCACACUUUUCAGGCUGUAAUGCUUGUUAUCGUUUCUUCAGUUGAAAUGGAGAUUUUCUCCUUUCAUUGAUAACUUGCUGAGCUAUGUUUUCUUUCUAGAAAUGUGGGGCUUUUUUCCUUACAUGGCUGAAGUAACAAUGGCACAAUUUUGGUGUGACUCUUAAGGAAACUUGGAUACCGUGAAGGUCCUUGCCAAGAAUUCAUGUCUCAUUCAUUGUACUGGAGAAAUGGGGCUCCUGGCUUGAGCAGGUCUUGAAGACAAGUAAAUGCUUGUGGUUCUGCUUUAUUAUCUCUCUCAGAAAAUAGAAGGUGGGUACUAAGAGAGGGUAGAACUGACUGAAGAAAAAGUAUGAUAUCACAAUCUGCCAGCAGUUGCCACAAAAGUUUUGCAUGAUGCUUGUUAUGUCACCAAACCCUGACUCUCACAAAUCAUGACACUGGUUACAGGUUCCUCAUUCUUUAACCACAAACCUUCAGGUAUGACGUGUAUGAGCCCUGUUUGUUCACAGCUGCAACUGAAGUCAGACAAGGCUGGAGUGUGAAUAAGACACUUGGGUUUAGGUACAUCAGCUGACACUCCAAAAUGCGUGCUUUUUCUUUCCUAAGGCCUUCUGUGCAGCAGAUCACAGGCAUUUUGGGAAAAUAAUUACUGGCUGGAAAAAGAAAAGAUGGGGAGUUUCUCAGUCCUGCUCUGGGCAGAGUCAUAUAAACACGCCCUGAAAGGACAAAACUAAGCAGAGAAAAGCUCUUCAGCCAUGAAGGAGGAUAACCAGGCAUAAUGCAUAGAUGUAAGGUGAAAGGGAGCCAGGACUAACAGGCACAUUUCCCUGGAGCUCAGGUUGCUGGUACUAAUGUUGGCUAUGAAAUCACAGACUAUCCAGAGCUAUCCAUCCACAGACUGGAUGUAACUUCGUGAUAGAAGUUACAGUGUGGGUCAGGAGCACUCCUCUGAAAUAAAGCUCUGACUAGCCAUUCGUUUGAUGCUGUGGUUCAAACGUCUUGUUCCUGAGGCACAAGAACUGGGAUCCUCAGAUGCAUGUGAGCAUCUAACAUAAUCCUGCUGAACAGAAACCCCUCGAGUAUGGAUGUAGCGUCCCCAGUGCCCUUGGCUCUGCAGAUCAGCUCCUAAGAUCUGUCUUAGUAAAUUCACACCUGUUAAGGCUACUCUAACUUCAGUGCUACUGAGCUUUUGACCUUGGUUUUGCACCCUUGAUACUCGGGUUUUGGAGAAAAGGGGGUUGGUAUGGAUAAGGAUGUACACCAGUGGGUAUGGGCUCAGUGUAUUUCUUAAGGGCCAGUCAAACUAGUUUGCUCUGGUGGUGAAUACGUGAAGAGCAUGCACCCUUGGUACCACCCAUGGUACAGAAUCUGGGAUAUAGGCAUAGAUAAGGAGACUGACCACUUCAGAAAAGCUUGGGAGAGAAAAAUAACAGGACUGAAAUCCAACAGGAUGGGAGAUGGAGGAGAAGCAAGGGAUUGACUGUGCAGAAAGACUUGCAUUAAGAACCUGUGAAGGAUGCCAGAGCUACCAUUAAUCUCAAUUCCAGGAAGAAUUUGUCUCUGUGAGUCUGUUAUGGUAUGUGCAUUAAUGCACUCCACAAGUCUUCAUAUACUGCAUGAGUUUUCCUCACAAAUGCUUGGGGCUGGAGGGUGGUGUGAAUAUAAGACUGCUGCUGAUCAUCGGUAGAAAAUCAUGGAGACCUCUUUGAUGAUGGGGAAAAAGACUAAUACUAGUGAAUUGGGAUCUAGGGAGCGGCAGGGUGGGCAGCCUCCCUCCAUCCUUUGGGUGGCAAGAAUCACACAGCACAUGCCCUGGGAAUCCGUUUUCAGACUCAUGAAGUACCAGGUGGCCAGUCAGGACCAGUCAGCAUGGCUUCACCACGCGCAUGUCACACCUGGUCAGCCCGGAUGUGCAGGAACAGCUGGCUGUGGAAACAAGGGGAUAGCAGUGGGUAUCAUUUAUCUUGUCUCUAAAAUGUCUUUUGAUGUGGUGUCCCACAGGACUCUCCUAAUGAAAUUGAGGAUAGGUGAGGGAGCAGGAAGAUGGAUUAGAAGUUGUCCAGACUGCCAGACUCAAAGGUAAUAAUCAAUGGCUCAAUGUCCAGGUGGCAAAGCAUAGUCAACAGUGUCCCAAGGUCAAUGUAAAGGGUCAGUAUUAUUUGAUAUGUUCAUCAUUGAUCUCAGAUGAUGAGCCAGAGCACACCUUCAGUCAUUUUGUGGAUGGCAUUAAAUUGUGUGCUGGGCAGCAGAAGGCUAUGCUGGAUGGUAGAGCAGCAUCAAAAAACCUGAAAGCUGGGCCAGUGGAAACCUCAUGAAACUCACCAAGAAGUGCAGGGUUCAGCACCUGGGGCAGAAUAAUCCAGGCAUCAGAAUAGGCUGGCGACCAACCUGUGGGGGAGCACAUUGUAUAUAAACUUACCCCCUCUAUCCCUUUUAUACACUAUCUUCCUCAGCUGUACAGACUGUGUUCUUAAACUAUCAGGUGGAUGGAUGGCUGUAGAAAAGAUGGAUAUUCUUGGAGCUGCAAGGACACAAGUUUUGGGAACCUCUUUCUGGAUAUAAGAAAAGAGGCUCUUUACAGCAAUGGUGGGUCAGUGCUAGAGCAGGUGCCCAGGACAGCUGAAAAAUUGCCAUCCUUGGAGGUAAAAGUCAGUUGCACACAGCAACCUUCUCAAGUGAGUGCCUUCAUCUAACUCUCUGUUUUUCCCUGUGUUGAACAGGGUUUGUAACAGAUGAUCUCCAGAGAUCCUUCACAAUCCACAUUGUUCUGUUACUAUGGUCUAGGGAGGUAGCAAGCAUAGUUCUCCUCAACUUAUGAGCGCUCACCUUUAUCUUUCUGUCCUUUUACUCUUGAAAACAGAAGUUACAUGGAGGAUGAGCCCCUGGAACAUGUAGUUCUAUGAAGUGACCUAUGCAGAAGGUGAAAUGCUUGCCAAGUGCCAGUCACUGUAAAUGGGCUAGAAAGGAACAUUUACUGAUCCUAUCUGCUGCUGGCCUUUUUUCUCCGUCUGAUUAACAUUACUCUUUCCAACCUCUUGGCAUUCAAGCAAGGCUUUUUGUAGAAUUCCUUGCAUUCAAAACCCCCUUUUUGAGACACAAAGAAAGCAACGUUUGCUUGGCUGUACUCUUGACCUUCUUACCUUGUUUUCCACUACCACCUUCGUACCCAGGCAAUGUGAUCUCCUGCUCACACGCUCUUUUCCAAGUACCAGACUGGGUGUGGCGUGCUGAGCAGAACACAAACAGCAAUUUCACUUGUCAGGGAGUUCCUCUGGCCUGACAGCUCAUGCUGUUGACUCACUGUGAGGUUUUUAACCUGGAGCACUACUGCUAUGGGACCCAGUUUUUCUGGAGGACAGUGCUUCUGGAACACCUGAAUGGCACUGUGCAUGUGCUGUGCCUUUCAAAGAAACACAGUAAGUGGUCGAUGGCUGCUAAUCGUUGCCUUGAUUGACACCCACAUAGAAACUGGGAUGUUUGGUGUAUGGUAGGAAGGGAAACCACUGUCAGUAAUCCUUUUACAGCUGCAGAAGCCAUAAGGUAUUUGUGUGAAGGUAAUGAAAUGUGCAUGGAGAAAAUCCCUGUAAAUGAGUAAUGAUUAGCUUAUAUCACUAUUGCUUAUUUGGCCUAUUGUGGGGGCUUUUGGUCGUUUUAUGGAUUGGGAUGAGGGCCAGGGUCAGACUUUGGAAACAAAGAGAGUAUUUUUAGUUAAUUAAGAAAAAUUAUGCUUGAGUUCUAAAUUAAAUCAGAAUACCCUUAAUCUGCCCUGCUGCGAAUGCUUUUACGCAGAUCUCCUGGCAGCAAGUCAAGCAUUGUCACCACUCCUGUGCCUCCUGUAUUUGUUAUUUAGGCAUGUACUUUGGGAUUUCUGGUGAAGACAGGGCAAUAUUAAUGCUGCUGUGCAAGCUCUGAGUGAAACUUCACCCAAACAUGGGCAAACAACUCCAAGAGAGACUUGUAAACCAGAACGACUGCAGAGAAGCUAGGGACAAGUUGUGUUAGGGAUCUCUGUCCUGAACUGAUUCAUAGGUUGUACAGACUCUGUAGUCAUCUGACUUUCUACAUCACAUGGCCAUUAAACUGUACUCCUGAACUGACUCUAUUUUGACCACAGGUGCACGUUUAGGAAAGGGGAGGAGAAAGGAACCUGACCUGAAUUUACAAAGGUCCAUUACCAGAGAAGUCAUCACAACUCUUGGUGAAAGGUCUUAGUUUUAAUUACCUUCACAGAACCCUCUCCCACUCAGUGGGCAAACUGACCCUGUGUAACCAGAGGUAGAUGGAGAUCAGCAUUCAACCUGAGAGCAUCCUGCUUCAGCUCUGUGCCUGACAAAAGCCCUGCUGGCUCCAGCAACAGGAAUUCAGGCUUCAAGUAAAUUCUACCCUGAGGAAAACCCUGUGGAAGCUGGGCCUCAGGAAGAAGUUGAAAAUUAGACUAUGAACUUAAAGGAAACCUCAUGACAACUUUGAAGUGUGUAACAGUGACUCAGUGGAGUAACUACCUAUAAUUCUCCCCUUGGAAAGCAGAUGGACUUCUACACGUUGCUUGAGAGAGCGUGACGAGGCCACUCCUAAGGGGAAGUGUACUAUUAACAGGAAAAUAGUACGGCUAACGGCGAGCGCCUCUAACAGCCUUCCACAUAGGAGCUAGUUUUGGGUGACGGGUUUAGGUGGGUUUUUUUAAGUUGAUGAAGCCAGCAGAAGUUUUGGUGAGAACAAGAGAAAGGUCCUUUCUCUCCUGUGGUAGGCAACAUUUCAAUCUUAUGCAGCAGCUACAGUUUUUCUUCUAAUAAAAAU